UAGCGUAUAUUAAAGUUGUUGCAGUUAAAAAGCUCGUAGUCGGAUUUCGGGGCGGGCCGAGCGGUCUGCCGAUGGGUAUGCACUGGUCGGCGCGGCCUUCUUUCCGGAGACCGCGGCUACUCUUAACUGAGCGGGCGUGGGAGACGGAUCGUUUACUUUGAAAAAAUCAGAGUGUUUCAAGCAGGCAGCUCGCUCUUGCAUGGAUUAGCAUGGGAUAAUGAAAUAGGACUCUGGUGCUAUUUUGUUGGUUUCGAACACCGGAGUAAUGAUUAACAGGGACAGUCAGGGGCACUCGUAUUCCGUCGAGAGAGGUGAAAUUCUCAGACCAAUGGAAGACGAACCACUGCGAAAGCAUUUG
rnacentral:rRNA from 1 species